UACGUAGGGUGCGAGCGUUAAUCGGAAUUACUGGGCGUAAAGCGUGCGCAGGCGGUUUUGUAAGCCCGAUGUGAAAGCCCCGGGCUUAACCUGGGAAUGGCAUUUGGGACUGCAAGGCUGGAGUGUGGCAGAGGAGACUGGAAUUCCUGGUGUAGCAGUGAAAUGCGUAGAUAUCAGGAGGAACACCUAUGGCGAAGGCAGCUCGCUGGGACGUUACUGACGCUGAGGCGCGAAAGCGCGGGGAGCAAACAGG
rnacentral:rRNA from 1 species